UACGGGGGGAGCAAGCGUUGUUCGGAUUUACUGGGCGUAAAGGGCGCGUAGGCGGCCACCGCAAGUCGACUGUGAAAUCUCGGGGCUUAACUCCGAAACUGCAUUUGAUACUGUGGUGCUUGAGGACUGGAGAGGAGACUGGAAUUCACGGUGUAGCAGUGAAAUGCGUAGAUAUCGUGAGGAAGACCAGUGGCGAAGGCGGGUCUCUGGACAGUUCCUGACACUGAGGCACGAAGGCCAGGGGAGCAAACGGG
rnacentral:rRNA from 1 species